AUUGAACGCUGGCGGCAUGCCUUACACAUGCAAGUCGAACGGCAGCAUGAUCUAGCUUGCUAGAUUGAUGGCGAGUGGCGAACGGGUGAGUAAUACAUCGGAACGUGCCCUGUAGUGGGGGAUAACUAGUCGAAAGAUUAGCUAAUACCGCAUACGACCUGAGGGUGAAAGUGGGGGACCGCAAGGCCUCAUGCUAUAGGAGCGGCCGAUGUCUGAUUAGCUAGUUGGUGGGGUAAAGGCCCACCAAGGCGACGAUCAGUAGCUGGUCUGAGAGGACGAUCAGCCACACUGGGACUGAGACACGGCCCAGACUCCUACGGGAGGCAGCAGUGGGGAAUUUUGGACAAUGGGCGAAAGCCUGAUCCAGCAAUGCCGCGUGUGUGAAGAAGGCCUUCGGGUUGUAAAGCACUUUUGUCCGGAAAGAAAUGGCUCNUGGUUAAUACCUGGGGUCGAUGACGG
rnacentral:rRNA from 1 species